GGGUGCGGAACGCGUAUGGAACCUGCCCCUGUCAGAGGAAUAGCCCAUGGAAACGUGGAUUAAUGCCUCAUGGUAUUGUGAAGUUGCAUGAUUUUACAAUUAAAGAUUUAUCGGACAGGGAUGGCCAUGCGUAUCAUUAGCUAGUUGGGGAGGUAACGGCUCACCAAGGCGACGAUGAUUAGGGGCCCUGAGAGGGGGAUCCCCCACACUGGUACUGAGACACGGACCAGACUCCUACGGGAGGCAGCAGUGAGGAAUAUUGGACAAUGGUCGGAAGACUGAUCCAGCCAUGCCGCGUGCAGGAAGACGGCCCUACGGGUUGUAAACUGCUUUUCUACAGGAAGAAAGGUUCCCUUGCGAGGGAGAUUGACGGUACUGUAGGAAUAAGGACCGGCUAACUCCGUGCCAGCAGCCGCGGUAAUACGGAGGGUCCGAGCGUUAUCCGGAAUCAUUGGGUUUAAAGGGUCCGUAGGUGGGGUUCUAAGUCAGAGGUGAAAGGUUGCAGCUCAACUGUAGAAUUGCCUUUGAUACUGGAGCUCUUGAGUUAUGUUGCUGUGGCCGGAACAUGUGGUGUAGCGGUGAAAUGCAUAGAUAUCACAUAGAACACCGAUUGCGAAGGCAGGUCACAAAGCAUAGACUGACACUGAGGGACGAAAGCGUGGGGAGCGAACGGGAUUAGAUACCCCGGUAGUCCACGCUGUAAACGAUGGAUACUAGCUGUUGGGUUUUCGGACUCGGCGGCCAAGCGAAAGUGAUAAGUAUCCCACCUGGGGAGUACGUUCGCAAGAAUGAAACUCAAAGGAAUUGACGGGGGCCCGCACAAGCGGUGGAGCAUGUGGUUUAAUUCGAUGAUACGCGAGGAACCUUACCAGGGCUUAAAUGGGAGAUGACCGGGUCAGAGACGACCCUUUCUUCGGACAUCUUUCAAGGUGCUGCAUGGUUGUCGUCAGCUCGUGCCGUGAGGUGUCAGGUUAAGUCCUAUAACGAGCCCAACCCCUGCCGUUAGUUGCCAGUCGAGUCAAGUCGAGGGACUCUAAUGGGACUGCCGGUGCAAAUAGAGAGGAAGGUGGGGAAGACGUCAAAUCAUCACG
rnacentral:rRNA from 1 species